CCUACGGGAGGCAGCAGUCGGGAAUUUUGGGCAAUGGGCGAAAGCCUGACCCAGCAACGCCGCGUGAAGGAUGAAAUCCCUCGGGAUGUAAACUUCGCAAGAACGGGAAGAAUAAGCGAGAGUUAAUAUCUUUCGUGAUGACGGUACCGUUUGUAAGCUCCGGCUAACUCCGUGCCAGCAGCCGCGGUAAU
rnacentral:rRNA from 1 species